rnacentral:rRNA from 1 species
UUUCGACCUGAGGUCAGGCAAGAACACCCGCUGAACUUAAGCAUAUCAAUAAGCGGAGGAAAAGAAACUAACUAGGAUUCYCUUAGUAGCGGCGAGCGAACCGAAA